UUCGCCACUCUUGACCAACCAGUAGAGCCCCUCGCGCUUGCGAGAGAUAAAGCGACUAUAGAGUCAGUCAGGGAAUGCUCAGCGCAUCGGUGCCCGCACCCACACCGUGUUCUCUCCAGGCUUCGCCUCCCCACCCUCGCUCCAACCACAUCGCCGCGCGCGCUUCAAUGGCCUCCGCCGCAGCUCGCAGCUCGGCUCAUAUAGCAGUCGUCGGCGACGUCCAUGAUCAGUGGAAUCUAGAAGAAGAUACGAAAGCACUUGAACUGCUGCAGCCGGAUUUGGUUCUUUUUACAGGUGAUUUUGGUGAAGAGAACGUUGAACUCGUUAAGAGCGUUGCAAAUCUUUAUUUUGCUAAAGCAGUUAUUUUGGGAAACCAUGAUGCCUGGCAUACAACACAGUUUUCUGGAAAGAAAAAAGACGGCGUUCAACUUCAGCUAGAAUGUCUCGGUGAGGAGCACGUAAGUUAUUGGUGUUUGGACUAUCCUACAUUGAAGCUGAGCGUUGUUGGUGGACGACCUUUUUCUUGUGGGGGAAAGAACUUAUUUCGACAAAAGCUCCUGUCUACAAGGUUUGGGGUCCAAGACAUGGAUGGAAGUGCUAAGAGAAUAUGCAAAGCAACUUCGGGCGCGCCUGAGGAUCAUUUGGUCAUGAUUCUUGCACAUAAUGGACCCACAGGUCUUGGUUCUAACAUGGAUGACAUAUUCGGAAAAGAUUGGGUGUUUGGAGGUGGAGAUCAUGGUGACCCAGAUCUAGCACAAGCCUUGUCCCUCUCAAAAGAAACUGGCAAAAUCUGUGCUCCACUGUUGGUGUUUGGUCACAUGCAUAAAGAGUUAGCAGAUGGGCAUGGUCUUCGGAAAAUGAUUGUGGUUGGAGAUGACAACACUAUGUACCUCAAUGGGGCGAUUGUUCCUAGGGUUAAGAGACUGAAUGUUGAACAAGGCACACCAGAGUCCUGUGGCACCAUGCGCGCCUUCACCUUAGUGGAGAUCUUGAACGGAACAGUUGAUAAUAUUGUUGAAAGUUGGGUAUCAGUUGCCGGCGAUAGGAUCACAUUGGAAGAGGAGCACUUCUUGUUCAAAAGUGGCGAUAGGAUCACAUUGCCGAAAUUGGAUGUUAAUUUGAGCCUGAUUGCAUAUGUAAGAUUUCUCCCUUUUGCAAUUAUGUCCCCCUUUCUUUUUCUUUCCUUUCGUUUUCCCUUGGUGCACAGACUCCAAAGCGGUGUCCAAACCGAGUACAGGGCACUAAAUAUGGAUCAAUGGAUACAUUUUUACCGUUUUUGCAAUGAGAUAAGUUUUCCAGACCUGAAAAAUUAUGAUUCUGAUCAAGCAUGGCCGGUGAUUUUUGAUAACUUUGUUGAAUGGGUGAGAGACAAGCAAAGCUAAUUCCGGCAUCCUUACAUUCCCUUUUGUUAGAAUACACUGGUUACUCUAAGAAGGGCUUGUCAAGAAUUCCGCCAAUCGGUUCUACUACCAAACCAUUUGUGCUUGAGGGGUUUUGUUUUCGUUUCAAAUUUCAUUUGGGAGGUGGUUCGGAGAGAUGAGAAAUGCUACAGUUUUGUGAUGAGGAAAUUUUGCAAGAGUCUAAUUAUACAAAAAUGAGGUUGCAAUUUGUUUUUGGGAGGUAUGUUUUUCACUGGCCGAUUGGUAAAAACGUUGUGCUUGUAUUAUGUAAUUUGUGAUAUUCGAAACUAUAAUUUAUGGGAAGGGGAAUUUAAAUU